GCAGAGACGAGGGCAGGAAGUGACGCAGGGGAAAAAAAGGCUUGGAAAGUCCUCAGAAGAGGAAGGCUGGAAAGAAUUGAAAAACAAGACCAAAAUGACUGGAAAUAGCUGAGGCUGGCUUUGAACUCGUGAUUAUCCUGUCUCAGCAUCCGAAGCCACUGGGAUUAAAGGCAUGCACACAUGCUUA